rnacentral:lncRNA from 10 species
CUUGAACCUACCAGUGGAUGCUCCGAUAAAUUGGCUCAUUGAAACACUCGGAACGUUUAUCUGAUAAUCACCAAUGGGCAGACAAGCAGAAUGCAUACAUCUUCUACCAGAAGUCUUCAAUCCCUGGGCUGGGCUGUACCAGUCUGGUGAACUCUAUUGUGAACUGCACAUUCGAGGGAUCUAGACUGUGUGCUACUUAUGCGAAUCUAAUGCCUGAUGAUCUGAGGUGAAACCGUUUCAUCCUGAAACCAUUCCCUGCCCCCACCCCACAGUCCACCCUCUCAAUCUAUGGAAAAAUUGUCUUCCAAGAAACUGGUCCCUGGUGCCAAAAAGGUUGGGGGCCACUCUUCUAGAGUGUAAUAAUGUUCUAAUAAUACUCAUAUUUGUAUAGUUCUUUAAAAAAUUACAACUCAAAAUUCAACAAGGGUUUCAAAAACAAGGUACAUAUAAAGUGGGGAAAUUCAGCUCAUUAAGAAAGAUUUAUCCGUUCUAUAUGUGUACAUCAACUCAUGUUUAAUGCUCCCAAAUAAUAAGGGUACUGUUUAUAUAACACUGUUCAUCUUUAGAGUGUUUCACUAAUAUUAUCUAAUUAAUAAGCAUAGAAAAAUCCUGCUGUGUCCUCCAAAGCUGUCA